rnacentral:rRNA from 1 species
AUGAACAUUGCCCUCCUGACUCGUUGGCUCUGGCGCAUUGCUAAUGGAGAUGGAGGUCUCUGGCUUACUAUCAUCCAGAACAAGUACCUGCGUGGGCAGCCUCUCGCAUUUUGUCAGCGCUGAGGCGGCUCCCAGUUUUGGCAGGCCGUCGUCCAGCUGCUGCCUGUUCUGCGCAUUGGCACAUCCAUUUCGGUGGGUACUGGGUCCUCGACCCUGUUC